rnacentral:tRNA from 1 species
GUGCAGGCUAGAGGGCUUGGCCCGGCUUUCUAUCAUUCUUGAUGAUAAUGACCUUCGCUGGGUUCGAUUCGUGCGCCAGCACGC